rnacentral:rRNA from 1 species
GAUGAACGCUGGCGGCGUGCCUAAUACAUGCAAGUCGAGCGAACGGACGAGAAGCUUGUUUCUCUGAUGUUAGCGGCGGACGGGUGAGUAACACGUGGAUAACCUACCUAUCAGACUGGGAUAACUUCGGGAAACCGGCGCUAAUACCGGAUAAUCUUUUGAACCGCAUUGUUCAAAAGUGAAAGACGGUCUUGCUGUCACUUAUAGAUGGAUCCGCGCUGCAUUAGCUAGUUGGUAAGGUAACGGCUUACCAAGGCAACGAUGCAUAGCCGACCUGAGAGGGUGAUAGGCCACCCUGGAACUUAGACACGGUCCAGACUCCUACGGGAGGCAGCAGUAGGGAAUCUGCCGCAAUGGGCGAAAGCCUGACGGAGAAAAGGCGCGUGAGUGAUGAAGGUCUUCGGAGCGGAAAACUCUGUUAUUAGGGAAGAACAUAUGUGUAAGUAACUGUGCACAUCUUGACGGUACCUAAUCAGAAAGCAACGGCUAACUACGUG